rnacentral:tRNA from 1 species
CCGAAAAUGUCGGCUCACACCCUUCCCGUACUA